rnacentral:lncRNA from 1 species
AACCCGACAAGCAUGUAAAUUUCCUUGCAAGCCUCCCAGAUGUCCUCACUUUAGGGCCAACAGUCAGUUUCAGUUUCAAUUUGUUUAUUUGUCCUUCUUCAGUCACAAAUGUGGAGCUGAGAAUGCUGGAAGAGAGAAGAGAAAGCAAAGAAAAAUGGGACGAAGAGGCCUUUUGCUUUCUUCCUGGGAUGUAAGCGGCAGGGAGAAAGCUAAGAGGCUUGGUCUUCUCUCUUUAGAAACAGGUAGAGAUCGUUGUCCAAAGAGGGAGCUAAACCAGGUAAAUCAGCCAAAGGCAACUAAGAAAGUGAGCCAGGCCAGACAGGAAAAAGAGAAAAAAAAGAAUGAAGGCGAGAAGAUGAAACUGGUUAAAUGGGAGAAAGAGGAGGACUCCAGGGCAGCAUCAGCCCCCAGAGACCAGAAGGGGCGCUGGAGUGUCCACUGCCACAGCCCCACCUAGUGGUUGCCCCACAUCUUCCAUACCUCCAGCGGCGGGGCGCUCCCCACAGCACCGGGCAGCUCUGCCUUUCUUUGGGCAACUUCAGCAGAAAGUUCUUAGCAUGAGCUGCAGUCAGCUUCCCUGUUCUAGCCCCUCCUCAUCAGUUCAGAUUCUGCUGCCCACGACAGUGAUUUCACUGUUUAGAAUGGCAUCAUGCUGAAGUGCUGUGUAAUGUUCCUAAAUGCAAGAAGGCUGUGAUGUGCCUUAUGGAGAAAACAUGCACGUUAGAGAGCCGGAAGUUAGAUCGAAAGGUUUGGUUA